rnacentral:rRNA from 1 species
CCUGAUGACCAUAGCAGGUUGGUACCACUCCUUCCCAUCCCGAACAGGACAGUGAAACGAUUCUGCGCCGAUGAUAGUGCUGAGACCAGUGUGAAAGUAGGUUAUUGUCAGGC